AGCAAAUCUUAAAAAAUGCUACAAGUGAUUGUGCACUUUUCCCAAAAGAGCAAAAGCAUGGGGUUACAAAUUGUAGUCCUAGUCCUCCUCUCCCUUUCCCUUUGUGCCUGCCUUUCCAAGCUGACACACACUGACAGCAGGUGAGAAGGGAAUAAGCCCCACCACUAUGAGAUGUCAAGCACUGGUGUGAAAGAUGCAUGGCGAAUCUCUUACUUGAGGGCAGAGGACACUAACUCUCCAUCUCACCCACAGGCAGGCACCAUGAAAACCGGGCUGCAAAAGUGAAAGCCUCAUUCUACCCUUGAGUUAAAGUCUACACUCUUACCUUCAAGAAGGAGUUGCAAAGACAUUUGAUUAUUCUGCUGCAGAAAGCUCCAUUAUACUUAUGGCUUGCAGUUGUAGGCAACAAGUCAGCUCACCUGGUUUUGGUCAUUUACAAGUUAGUGAUCUAGUCAGCAGUAGUUUUGUCAACUACUCCUAUCCUGAAUGGAGAAAGAAACAGAGUUCCAAGGAAGCAGCUAGCUGGUAGAAGUGAUGGUGCAAAGACUUGAAAGGAAAAGCACAUCGUGGAAAAAAAAAUCAGGGAAAGGAAUGAGAUUAUGGGAUUGAAUGUGUCUGCUUUUGUGGCUUUUCAUCUUCAUGUGAGGUUAGCAAGAGGA
rnacentral:lncRNA from 1 species